AACAAACUAAUUUUUCACUUUUUACCUAUAAUUUUUGACUCUCCGUUUUAUUCAAUUUUUUUUGCGAUUAAUAUUUUUGUUUUUAUUAGAUGAUAAAUCAUGAAUAAUAUUUUACGUGUGAUUAAUUUUUUUCUAAUUUCCUAAAUAAUUUUAAAUAAAACAAAUGAUCAAACGUUAGACACGGAAACCGAAGAAUCGGUUUUUU
rnacentral:pre_miRNA from 1 species